GACGAGGGAUCCUAGCGUUGUUCGGAAUCAUUGGGCGUAAAGCGGGUGUAGGCGGGCUUAUAAGUCAGGUGUGAAAUCCCAGGGCUCAACCCUGGAAGUGCAUUUGAUACUGUAAGUCUUGAGUGUGGUAGAGGUUACUGGAAUUCCUGGUGUAGUGGUGAAAUACGUAGAUAUCAGGAGGAAUACCGGAGGCGAAGGCGAGUAACUGGGCCAACACUGACGCUGAGAUCCGAAAGCGUGGGGAUCAAACAGG
rnacentral:rRNA from 1 species